rnacentral:misc_RNA from 1 species
GAAAUGCGAUAAGUAAUGUGAAUUGCAGAAUUCAGUGAAUCAUCGAAUCUUUGAACGCACAUUGCGCCUACCGGUAUUCCGGUAGGCAUGCCUGUUCGAGCGUCAUUUCAACCCUCAAGCGCUGCUUGCUGUUGGGGCCCUGCGCGCCGCGCACGCCCUGAAGCCCAGUGGCGGUCCCCCCGUGGCACCGAGCGUAGUGAUACUCGCAGCUCUGGUAGACCGGGAGGGCGCCGGCCGUUAAACAUACCACUGUCUUAUAGGUUGACCUCGGAUCAGGUAGGAAUACCCGCUGAACUUAA